rnacentral:lncRNA from 1 species
CAUACAGUGAGAUUUCCGAGAAGGCAGCAGGGGUGGGGCAGGGAGGCCCAGAGCGCAGGUGGAGAGUGAGCCUGGUGUGGAGUUAGCCACUUCUCCCCAGAGGAAGGCAAGGAUGUGGAGGGUGAAAGCGGGCUCGCAGACACGGUGUUGGAACCUAAUCCUCAACGUGGUGGUAGGUUUACCACCUGAAGCAGAGAACAGCCCUCACCAGAUACUGAACCAGCUGGUGCCUUAACAUUGGACUUCCAGCCUCCAGAACUGUGAGAUGUAAGUUUCUGUUCUUUAUAAAUGACCCAGCCUCAGGCAUUUUGUUAUAGCAGCAGGAACAGACUAAGAUAGUGGCCAACACAAUUCCAGGUGCCUGGUAAUGCUUCCCUUCUGCCCCUUCAGGGACAGAAGUUCUAGAAAGAAGCAAUAGGUCUAGUGAGAAGCAACUCAUCCCAACUCUAUUAGAGUUGACUUAGAGGCCCAGGCCAAUUUAGUUGGUGGGACAGUAAGUGUUUUAGAAGUAGACUUGGGUUCAGAUC